rfam:Clostridium sp. ASF502 genomic scaffold acMal-supercont1.9, whole genome shotgun sequence.
GAGCGCCGUGUGACGGGAAAGCCGUCAUGCACGGUGCGGGGUGGGGGAAAAGCCGGAAACAUUAGAAACUGUAGGCUUACCUAUCACCAU